GAACGCUAGCGGCAGGCUUAACACAUGCAAGUCGAGGGGCAGCAUAAUGGAUAGCAAUAUCUAUGGUGGCGACCGGCGCACGGGUGCGUAACGCGUAUGCAACCUACCUUUAACAGGGGGAUAACACUGAGAAAUUGGUACUAAUACCCCAUAAUAUCAUAGAAGGCAUCUUUUAUGGUUGAAAAUUCCGAUGGUUAGAGAUGGGCAUGCGUUGUAUUAGCUAGUUGGUGAGGUAACGGCUCACCAAGGCGACGAUACAUAGGGGGACUGAGAGGUUAACCCCCCACACUGGUACUGAGACACGGACCAGACUCCUACGGGAGGCAGCAGUGAGGAAUAUUGGUCAAUGGACGCAAGUCUGAACCAGCCAUGCCGCGUGCAGGAUGACGGCUCUAUGAGUUGUAAACUGCUUUUGUACUAGGGUAAACUCACCUACGUGUAGGUGACUGAAAGUAUAGUACGAAUAAGGAUCGGCUAACUCCGUG
rnacentral:rRNA from 1 species